GACGAACGCUGGCGGCGUGCUUAACACAUGCAAGUCGAACGGAAAGGCCCUGCUUUUGUGGGGUGCUCGAGUGGCGAACGGGUGAGUAACACGUGAGUAACCUGCCCUUGACUUUGGGAUAACUUCAGGAAACUGGGGCUAAUACCGGAUAGGAGCUCCUGCUGCAUGGUGGGGGUUGGAAAGUUUCGGCGGUUGGUGAUGGACUCGCGGCUUAUCAGCUUGUUGGUGGGGUAGUGGCUUACCAAGGCUUUGACGGGUAGCCGGCCUGAGAGGGUGACCGGGGACAUUGGGACUGAGAUACGGCGCAGACUCGUACGGGAGGCAGCAGUGGGGAAUAUUGCACAAUGGGCGGAAGCCUGAUGCAGCAACGCCGCGUGCGGGAUGACGGCCUUCGGGUUGUAAACCGCUUUCGCCUGUGACGAAGCGUGAGUGACGGUAAUGGGUAAAGAAGCACCGGCUAACUACGUG
rnacentral:rRNA from 1 species